rnacentral:lncRNA from 1 species
UUUUUUGGGAGGGGAGUUGAUAUUUCAUUUAAUUUCAAGCAUUAUAGAUUUCCCUAGCAUGUUUUUAAGUAAUAUAAUUGCUAAACUCUGAUUGGUAGUUAAUGGAAGUUUGAAUGCUUUAGGUAAUUGUUGAUGAAUAAAUAUAUUUCAAGGUUGAGUUUUAGAUUCGUAAGUGGGAUAUUUUAUAGUAUGUUCAGUUUUUUUUUUUUUUUUUUUUUUUUUUUUCCCCUUAUUACAUGUUAUAGGCUUUGAAAAUUUAAUAUGAUGUUAUAUUAUUAUUUUUUUUUAAAUCAAAACUUGUUUGAUAUAAAGCUUGUUUGCAUGCUGUGUAUUUUUCAUUAUGAUUUAUAUGUUACAUGUUUACUCUUUCUAGAAACUGUCUGCUCCAAUAUCAUCUACAGAAUCAUUGCAGGAAUCUAACUCAAAUUUAGGUCUUGAGUGGUGAAAGUGCUACUUGUUGAAGAGUAUGAUUAUUAUGGUAUCUAUCGUGACUUGUCGAUGAACUUUGUAAAUCAAAAUGGAGCCACAAGAACUGUUGAAAAUUUGGCUCAGGGUGCUUUUACUGGUGGUUAAGCGUUAUGCACCAAAAUUUAUAACCUUGCAUUGCCAAGAAGUUGAAGGUAAAAACACUAAAGAAUCUAUGAGGCAUGUUGAAGAAUUCUUAAGGUAAAUGAGUUCUUAAUUUAUUGUAUAUAUUUAAUUUUGCAGGUAUAAAAUUAGAUUGUUUCAUUACUAAUAUAAUAGGUUUUUAAAAUUAAAAAAUUGACAAAUUAUUCUUGAUAAAUGAACAUUUAAUACUCACAUGUACACAAAUGCAUACGCACAUAAAAACCAUGUCCAGAAAAGUGAUUACACAGCCUUUAUUUUCACAACUGUUAAUCAAGGAUAUCUACUUCCAGUUACAAAAAAAAGUUUUAAAUAACAUGAAUAUUCAUGCUUUAGCCCACCCUUUUUUUUUCUUUUUUUGUUCAAAAAAUUGAAUUUUGCAAAUGAUACAAAAUGUAUUUUUUAUGCAGUUCCCUGGGGCCUGUAAUUCUUACAUUCAGGAAAUUUAUAUCCCUGUUAUGAAAAAUAAAACACAAGCUUAACUUCCAAUAUGACAAAAAUUGUCUAAGAUAUUUAAUUUCAAAAUUUGGGAUUUUUGGCAUCAUUGUCAAUUUGCCUUGAGAUGCCUUAUUAAUAAAUAUAUUAGAAUAAUUUGAGGUGAUUUUUUUCCUUCGGAAAUGUCAUUCAGUGGUAUUCUUUUGUGGUUUACUAGAGGGUAACCUACUUUAAUUUUCAAUUUUGAUCCAUAUUGUAUGCUGAAUGAAUUAUCUAAUUAAUUGAUAAGCUUUCAAAUGCUGAGAGGAUCUCAUUAAUUAUGAAGUUUUAUUAUUUUAGAAUCAUGAUAUAAUAUUCAUACAAUGAAAGUCAAACUAGAAAUAUUUUUCAUUUUUAAAUUAUUCAAACAGUGCUACGAGUUGGCUGUUUGUCAAUACUAAAGUCUUCCAGUGUUUUCUAGUACAGGGGUUCUGUAAGAUUUUGUAAAUAAAAUUUCAUUUUUGAAAAGCAUUAUGUUGAAUAAUACUUAUAACAAUUUGCAUAGAGUGCUUAUCAGUUAAUCUGUUGGGUCAUCUAAAAUUUUCUGAUGAUAAAUACAAAUGAAACUGAGCAGAAACAUAGGAAACCUACAUUGAACUUUUUAGCAUCAUUUUAUUCCGAGUUUUUGCCCCUAUAAUUUUUGUUUUGGUUCUGUGACAUCUCUCAAGCACCUGAAAAAUUUACAUUUUAAAAAGUCAUUAGGAUCAUUCUUAAAAGAAGUUAUUGACAUGUUGUUAAAUAAUGUAAAAAAAAAAAAAAAAAAAAAAAA